rnacentral:rRNA from 1 species
AACGAACGCUGGCGGCAUGCCUAACACAUGCAAGUCGAACGAGACCUUCGGGUCUAGUGGCGCACGGGUGCGUAACGCGUGGGAACCUGCCCUUAGGUUCGGAAUAACUCCCCGAAAGGGGUGCUAAUACCGGAUAAUGUCUUCGGACCAAAGAUUUAUCGCCUUUGGAUGGGCCCGCGUUGGAUUAGCUAGUUGGUAGGGUAAAAGCCUACCAAGGCGACGAUCCAUAGCUGGUCUGAGAGGAUGAUCAGCCACACUGGGACUGAGACACGGCCCAGACUCCUACGGGAGGCAGCAGUAGGGAAUAUUGGACGAGGGGCGAAAGCCUGAUCCAGCAAUGCCGCGUGAGUGAUGAAGGCCUUAGGGUUGUAAAGCUCUUUUACCCGGGAUGAUAAUGACAGUACCGGGAGAAUAAGCACCGGCUAACUCCGUG